rnacentral:rRNA from 1 species
UACGAAGGGGACUAGCGUUGUUCGGAAUUACUGGGCGUAAAGCGCACGUAGGCGGAUCGAUCAGUCAGGGGUGAAAUCCCAGAGCUCAACUCUGGAACUGCCUUUGAUACUGUCGAUCUAGAGUAUGGAAGAGGUGAGUGGAAUUCCGAGUGUAGAGGUGAAAUUCGUAGAUAUUCGGAGGAACACCAGUGGCGAAGGCGGCUCACUGGUCCAUUACUGACGCUGAGGUGCGAAAAGCGUGGGGGAGCAAACAGG